UACAGAGGUGGCAAGCGUUGUUCGGAAUUACUGGGCGUAAAGGGCGCGUAGGCGGCCUUCUAAGUCGGACGUGAAAUCCCCCGGCUUAACCUGGGAACUGCGUCUGAUACUGGAAGGCUUGAGUGCGGGAGAGGGAUGUGGAAUUCCAGGUGUAGCGGUGAAAUGCGUAGAUAUCUGGAGGAACACCGGUGGCGAAGGCGGCAUCCUGGACCGACACUGACGCUGAGGCGCGAAAGCGUGGGGAGCAAACAGG
rnacentral:rRNA from 1 species